GAUUUUUCUUUUAAGCAUAUGCUUUAUUUUGAGGGAAGAUGCUGGGAGAGAAAUUUCUGUGUGGUUUCUACAGAAUUAAGAAGACAAAAGUGGUAAUUGAUAAAACACCAAAUCUUGGGCAUUUAUGUAAUUGUUGAUUAAAUAAUAAAAGUUCAACUGAAUAAUUAAUGCAUAACUCUUUGAAUGGGUGAAGAUGUACAAAAACUCAGCUCAUCUGAGGUCAGCAUCUCUUCUAGGGAUUCCUGAAGAAUAUAGGCAAGGUGAUGAAGCCGUAUGUUGCUGUUUCCCUGCAGAUGCUGGAAAUAUGGGCCCCACCCCACUUCAGCCCCUCACUUCUCUAAUUUUUCUCUAGGAAUAUUAUUAUUGGCCCAGGGAAGGUUCAUUUCAGCAGAAAUUCUGCCGUUAUGAAGCAAUUAGAGCAAUUUGUUAGCAAAAGUAAGUGAUUUAUUUUUCCCAAUCACCAUUCAUAAGACGGUCAUUACAAACAAGUUUGCUGAUAAAUCCGUGGCCACGAGAGACGAAUUUAAUUGUGUCAAGGAAAGUUUCUUGGUGCUUAAUGGAGAGAGACUUUUCUGCCCCUUCAUGGUGAGAGAUAGGCCCUAUGGGUAUUUAUUGACUUGAACUGGGGUCUUCUUAAUAAAGAGAGAUAUGUUUUAGAAAUGAAACUCCUCGGGGUCUUGUUUGGGGUAAGUAAUUAGUGAAGAACCAAGUUAAUGUUGUUGGUUUUUUUUUUUUUUCUCAAACAUCUUGAUCUUUGAGCAAGUUUUUGAUCUUUUUUUUUAACUGACAAGUUACUUCUCUUUCAGGCCCCGAGCUUGAUGUAGAAGACUAUCAUAUGAACCAGAGAGGGUAACUGAACCCAAAGAAAUGACUCCAACAUCAAGCUAAAGACACGCCUUACAGGAUGAGGAGGAGCAGAAAUCCCACCAGCAAGGCAAGAAAGAAGCUGCACAUGAACAGCCUCUGCUUUAGGCCCAGAAGGAAAAGAAGUUACAGGAGCCGAUCGCCGAUCAGUCUUACACUCUUCCAUGAUCAUAAUCAAGAGGUCCCUGGAUCUAGAGAAAUGAAAGAGAGCACUAGAGCAAAAUGAAUCCUGGAACUGGAAUGGAAUGCCUGGAUUUGGAAGACCCAGUGUAAGGAAGCGUCACAGUUGGGAAGCAUCCUGGCCAUGCCAUGGUAAAGGUAUGCCUCAUGGCAAGUUAUUUAGCUUUUCUGAGAUUUCAUGAAGUGAGAAUGGUAUUAAAUUUGUCACAGGAUUAAGUAACUUAAACAUAUUUAAUUCCUAGCCUGAAACCUGGAGCAACUAACUUGAUAAAUGUUAGUCCUCUUUUUGCCUUUUCUGACUUUUUGUUUUAUUAUUGUUUGCUUGCUUGUAGAUGUAUUUUUUAAUGCUAUAGAACAAAGAAUGAGUUUUUAGAAAGCAAGACGACAUUUAUACAAAAGUCCUUAAGCUGCAUUUUUUACCUAAUAAUUUCCUUUAUGUAAAUGUGUGCUAAAAUGAUGGUUGAAACUAAAAAACACAGAGCUAUAGACAUGGCAAUCCAUCAUUGCUUCAAAUAUGUCCUUCCUGGACAUUUUGCCGUUUGCCUUAUUUUAAAAAGCACAUACUUUCUUCAUCCUUAUUUUUAAAAAUCAUUUAUUUGUGUUAUUUGCGUCUUAUUUUCCUAUUAAUGUUUUGAUACAGUCAGAUUAUUUCCUUCUUCAAAUCAUUAAAAAAAAUAGACCAGUUAAGCCCCCUGGGCCUAACAUGAAUCACUGCCUUCUAAAAAAAAAAAAAAAAUGUCAAACAGUCUUAUUUCUUUAAUCUAUGCAGACAUUUUUUCCAG
ensembl:lincRNA